CACCUGUAGUUGAACCAUUCCCUAAAACUCCAUUUUGUGUUUCUUUAAUGCCAUCCGUAUAUGAUUCAUCAACCUCCGUAAUAAUCACUGUUGAUGCAGGUGCUGCUCCCUUCAAUACAUCCCACUCAUCUGUGGUUGAAUCGUCAAUCUCCGUAAUGGUUACAGUUGAUGCAGGUGCUGCUCCCUUGGAAUCCUCCCUCUCCUCUGUAGCUGAUUCAUCAACUUCUGUAAUGGUCACUCUUGAGACAGGUGGCGUCCUGAUCACAUUCUCAAC
rnacentral:lncRNA from 1 species